rnacentral:piRNA from 1 species
UGAGAUAACUGUGCCUUCUGAGGUGUGU